GGUCCAGAAACUCCUAAUACGUCUGCUCUUAGAGAUGUAGGAAUAUCUGCCUAAAUCUCAGUAGAAACAGUACAGUCUGUGAUGUUUGAGUCACGACCCUCUCCCCUCUGGCUCCGUGUGAGGAGAGCUCUGCUCCAGUCUUUCCAGAAUCAGCCUCACUCCUCCCCGGAAAACAGAACAUCACUAGUCUUUCAUCAUCUCUGCAGGUGGGAGAGUUGAUCCGAUUACAAAAGGAGAGGCAAGAGGGCUGCUCACGCACACUUUCAUACCUGCAUGCACAAAUUCUUCUUUUAGAUCUGCGAGUCCUAUAGGUCCUGUCCCGUGGGCUCAGCAACUGUUGAUGAUGCUUCCUCCUAAACAUCCACUAUGAACACUUCCAUCUUGGCCAACAAGCAUGUGAGGACUUUCCAGACCAAAGGCAGCAUUUUCAUGUCAGAUAAGACAUCAAAUUUUCCUUCAUAGGAGGGGCUUCUGAGGAGUUAAGGACUCAUGGUUUCAGCCCAGGUCAUGAUCCCAGAGUCUCGAGAUCGAGCCCCACUCAGCAUGGAGUCUGCUUAAGACUCUUUCCCUC